GAUGAACGCUGACAGAAUGCUUAACACAUGCAAGUCUUUGGCGAAGCUGUGCUUGCACAGCCUAGCCAAGGCGGACGGGUGAGUAACGCGUAAGGAACUUGCCCUGCAGUCAGGGAUAACAGACGGAAACGACUGAUAAGACCUGGUAAAGUCAGGCGGACUCACGUCCAGCCUGAUGAAAAGAGAUGCUGCAGGAGAGCCUUGCGUCCUAUUAGCUUGUUGGUGGGGUAACGGCCCACCAAGGCGAUGAUAGGUAGCCGGCCUGAGAGGGUGGACGGCCACAAGGGGACUGAGAUACGGCCCUUACUCCUACGGGAGGCAGCAGUGGGGAAUAUUGGACAAUGGGGGCAACCCUGAUCCAGCAAUUCUGUGUGCACGAUGAAGGUUUUCGGAUUGUAAAGUGCUUUCAGCAGGGAAGAAAAAAAUGACGGUACCUGCAGAAGAAGCGACGGCUAAAUACGU
rnacentral:rRNA from 1 species